UUAUAAGAGACAGCAGUAGCCGCGGUAAUACGGAGGGUGCAAGCGUUAAUCGGAAUUACUGGGCGUAAAGCGCACGCAGGCGGUCUGACAAGUCAGAUGUGAAAUCCCCGGGCUUAACCUGGGAACUGCAUUUGAAACUGUCAGGCUGGAGUCUUGUAGAGGGGGGUAGAAUUCCAGGUGUAGCGGUGAAAUGCGUAGAGAUCUGGAGGAAUACCGGUGGCGAAGGCGGCCCCCUGGACAAAGACUGACGCUCAGGUGCGAAAGCGUGGGGAGCAAACAGGAUUAGAUACCCCAGUAGUCCCUGUCUCUUAUAC
rnacentral:rRNA from 1 species